AUCAAGUUGACGAUUCCUAAAUAGGACGAAACGUGCUUCCUGGAU
rfam:Schistosoma curassoni strain Dakar, Senegal genome assembly, scaffold: SCTD_scaffold0009326